GGAGUAGAGAGGGAGAGACAGAGUCCUGUCUACACACUUACGGGCCAUUUAGCGUGCAAAUAUCCAAGCUUCCUUUCCUAGAAAAUGGUGAUCUCGACUUGGAAGCGUCGGUUCCUCUUUUAGGCCUGAUGUGAGAGCCAAAAAGAGGUUUCUACAAUGCAGACUAGACUCAGGAGACAAAACGCAUCUUUCAGCAGAUGUUUCAUUAAGUUCUGAUUUAGCCUGAUUAAAAUCUAUAUUGACCGAGGCUAAGGAAGUUGUUGUUUUAUGCCAGUGCCUAGAGAAUGAUUUAAAUUCCAGAAGAGCUUGGAUGAUGGGGAAUGGUUUUACGUGUGAUUUAAAUUUCCUCUCUUUCUUUGUCAUUUUUUCCAACUGCGUUAUUUUUUCAGGCUUUCGGCAAAGAACAUCUAUGGCUUGUAUGAUAAUACAAAUUGGAAAGUUACGAAAGAAAUACGUCUCCUGUCUCACUAACACGCAGGCGUGAAAAGCCAGUUUGAAAGGGGGAGUCACCACCGUGUUCGGGGUGAUUUGCAGAGGAGUGGACCUGGAGGAAAGCAUCUGGGCUUUAACCCGAUUGCCACCAGGUGACUUCUAAAUACCUAGCACUGAGGCAGAUGCCAUAAGAGUCCUGGAUCAAUCACUUGCAAGCUCUUAAAGAUAAGCUACCGAACUUCUCCGAGCCUCAAAUGGUAAUCUCUACACCCAACAUGGGGCUCGAACUCAUGACCCCAAGAUCGGGAGUUGCACGCUCCACUGACCGAGCCAGCCGCAUGCCCCUGAUUAAGGUCAUGUCGAUACUUUUCAGUGACGUCUGUCAUCCUAAUCCUGGAGGGCUGGUCAUUGCCCCGCAGAAACUCCCAUGUUCUUUUCUCGGACAUCAUGGAGUUCAAGGGCACAUGAAGGACCAUGUCGGUCUAGAAAGAACCAGCCAGGUGUUCACUUAACGUCACUCAGGACACGAUAUUCAUGUGAAGAACUGCAGUACAUAUUUCCAAAAAACUUUCCAGAGUGGCCGUCACGUCUUACAUUCCAUCUGUUCUGGGGUUAAACCUUGCGGGACAUCAAACACCUGAAAAUGUAUGGAAUGUUCCACCUUGGAUCAUCAAGCUUCUUUGUGUGCUUAACCGAUGCUGAGGAGGAAGAAUUCUCUCUGCCCUUCAAGACCCUUCUGGCUGGACUAAGAAGCCAAUUGCCAUUGACAUGAGACAGACUAACAGGAGAAAACCAAAUUUAAUUUUGUGUGUGUGUGGAAUCCACAUAGACGUGGGAAUUCCAAAGGCAGUCAGGCAAAAUGAGGUAUAUGUGUGAGUUUGAAUUGAGGAGAAGGGGCGAGGGGUCUGGGACUUCAAAGCAAAGAAUGCACUUCAUGGGAAGAUAAAGAGCAAAUGUUUGUAAACGAAUGUAUACUGGGCCCUUCAGAAACAGUAGGACAGAGGACUUUGAUCACACAGCCCUUGCUAGGCUCCUCCCUCUCUACUACUCUUCAUAUCAUAACAUAGUUACCGGUAGUGAUCGCUCUCUUACUGGAGCAAGUCCUCUAUCUGAAUUCUUUUUGGCAGUCCAGUGGGGAGGUAAAGAGCUUUUUUCUGAAUUUGCUGGGUUUUGGUUGCAUUUAAGUCAAAAUGACCUUCACGCCCGAGGGGCCCAUCUUGGGUCUGCCUGCCCUUGGCCCCCAUGCUGAAUCUGUGGGCUGAAUGUAUGUAUAGGAAGGGCUUGUAUUUCACAUCUUUCACAUCUUUCUUUGUCAGAUUGUUCUUUCCUUCUCCCUUACUUUGUUUCUUCCUGAAUCACUGCCAAAGUCCUGAAUAUAGUCCCCGAAGGGUGAGAAUUGCUAACUAAGUGUCACUAUUUGGUUCAAACUAGGUUCAAAAACUCACGGGGAGCUCAGCUCACUAACUUGGCCACACCAUCAAUUUCCUUCAGGAAAGUUUAUUUUUUCCCCCUUGGGGAAUGGUUUUGCAUAUAUCUCUCUUUUUUUACAAUUUCAAAGACACACAUUGAAACAUGGAGGAUGAUAGUUGGAAAAUAGCAUUUUUUUAAUCAUCAUCUCCUUGGAGAUAUAAAAUAGCCACAGUAAAUGUGAACACUUUGUUACUUUUCUUCCUACUUAAUAUUUUUAAACACAAAAUACAAAAAAAAAUUGGCUCCUACAUGUUUAAUAUUUUUCCUCUUAAAAUCGCACAGGAAACCUGACGCUAGCUCUUGGCUAAUUUGGCCUUCCUGUUUGGCCCACCUGCAAAGAAUGCUGCAAAUGAUGCCAUGUGCCUCUGGGCAGGUGUCAAGACGAGCCUCUCCGAGCGGGGAACAUUCUAAGAAUGAUGGAUUUAUCUUCUGCGCCAUUUGUUUGUCAGAGUUAAUAAUGCCCGUGUCGUCAGGCAACAGGGCAAGCUGAACUUGGAAGGAGGUCAGGAAAUACAAGCCCGCAAUCAGCAGUCUGAAGUAUUAGAGGUCUAGUGGUGUCUGGGGAGCCAAAAAUGAGCCAAGGUCUGGGAAUCAAGACGCCAUCAUGGCAGCAGGAAGUCCACCUGCCUCUACGGACUAAAGUGCAUUAAGACCAACUUCAUUACGGUGUCUUGGAGGCAGCAGGAGUGUCCAAUAGUUCGGCCGAGGGCCUUCGGCUGCGUCCUGCCACUUGCCACCUGCUGAUUUGGAGCAGACAAUUUUGCUUCUCAGAGUCUUAGUUUUCUCAUCAGUACAAACGGGGACACUGCCAGUGUCAGCCUCAGCGGGUUAUUGCAAAAGAACACUAAUGGGGAUGUGGUCCCUGAGAUGUGUCCAGGGAAUAGUAAGCACUCAAUACAUCCAGCUAGUAUUUUUGUGUUAUCAUCUUGAGGAAGUACUUUGACCAUUGAACUAGACGAUAUCCGUGAAGCUCCUGGCAGAGAGGGGUUGGCCAUGGUAAGUGCUAAACUGAUGAGAGCAGUUAGCAUCAAUACCAAGGAAACGUGAAUGUCAUCACGAAACACGACAUUGAAGACCAUUUUGUGACAGGAAAGAGUGUCAUUAGGUACUGUCCCAGGGCAAAGGUAGGAUGUGAAUAAUUGCACGCACACAAAAAUCACUUUUUGCAAGUUAAUUAAUUAGGUGCACACACACCCAUUGGACGAGGUGAAGGCUGUGUACCGAAAGAGAGGCCAUAGACGAUAAUGGCUAGAGUGACAGAUUCUGAAACUACGUGUCGCGGGUUUUGACCCUCAUAUUGCCGUUUAUUAGUUGUGUGACCCUGGUGCGUUACUUAAUGUCUCUGUGCCUCAGAGACACAUCUGUUCAAUCCCCCACCUGUUAAAUCAUUGUUGGGUUUAAUGUGGUCAAGGACUGUUGACCAUCUUAGAGGAGUUAAUACACGUAAAGGGCUCAGACUUCUCCCCGGAGCGGUGAGUGACAUCUACGUGCUUGGCGAUGCUACGCGCAUGGAUUGCUUGUG